rnacentral:lncRNA from 1 species
CAUUUCAAUUCAUCUUUCCUCCAAAUAUACUAUUAAUGUUCCAGAAGAGAUGCAUAGACCCACUUAUUAGCCUACAUAUAUUAGCUAAACUAUUAGCAAGAUCUAUUACAUUCUCUGUUUGUGUGUGCUGAAUCAAAACGAUCUGAAAUUUUGAGCCUAGCUUGGAGUAGGAAAUCGGCAACAAUAUUAUUAAUUCACCGAUCGUUCCUAACACAAGUGACAAAAGGCUUGCUGGUUGGUACCCGAGAUCCCAAAUUUGAACCCUAAUUGAUUCACAUUUCCUACUAAGUUUAUUUCUAAAAAAAAACAAUCAAAGUGUGUAGCAUGCUAUCUUUCCCUCUUUUUUUUUUAAAAAAGCUAUAUGAUAAUUGAGUA